GCCAUUUAGGAGUUAAAUCCCUUUGUUUAUGAACCCUAGUCACACCUCCCUGCAUGUGACUUGCACAGCCUUCCAUAAACACUUCCUGUAAAGAGAGCCCUAUUUAGGCUUUCUUUAUUGCAAGUUCUGUUUAAUUAAGAUUUUCUUAUCCCCUGCUAUGUUAAUAGCUUGCUAGACCCUGCAAGAGCCUCCUGUAUGUGAUUAAAGUUCAAUUUAGAGAUGGAGAUACAAUUAUUUAAGGUAAAUUACAUCUGUUUAAAAGUGAAACCAGUUUUUUUUUUUUUCAUGCAGGCUCUGUCAAUCAUAGCCAGGGGAGGUGUGGCUAGGGCUGCAUAAACAGAAACAAAGUGAUUUAACUCCUAAAUGACAGUGAAUUGAGCAGUGAAAUUGCAGGGGAAUGAUCUAUAC